rnacentral:rRNA from 1 species
UAGCAAUAGCUAAUUGUGCUAAAAAAUUUUAGUGUAAAAUCGACCCUGUCGAAUAAAAUUCUGGAUAGAAUUAUGAUAAUGACAUUGUCUAUUCAUAAGUCUUGACCAAAUUACGUGCCAGCAGUCGCGGUAACACGUAGCAGACGAGUGUUAUUCAUCUUUAAUAGGUUUAUAGGGUACUUAGACGGUAAAUAAAGCCUCCAAAAAGGAACUAAUUUGCUAGAGUUUUAUGUGAGGAAGUAUUAAGGUACUGGUGGUGUAGAGAUGAAAUUCUAUGAUACCUUGAAUGGCACAGGUAUAGGCGAAAGCAUCUUCUUAUGUAAUAACUGACGUUAAAAGACGAAGGCUUUGUGUCUCGAACAGGAUUAGAUACCCUAGUAGUCAAAGCAGACAAUGAUGAAUGUCAUAGAUUGGAUUUAAAUUAAUUUAAUUUAUAAAUGAAAGUGUAAGCAUUCCACCUUAAGAGUAAUUUGGCAACAUUGGAACUGAAAUCAUUAGACCGUUUCUGAAACCAGUAGUGAAGUAUGUUGUUUAAUUUGAUGAUCCGCAAAAAACCUUACCACAACUUGAAUAGAUAAUUUUUAUCAUACAAGCGUUGCACGGCUGUCUUUAGUUAAUGUCGUGAGACUUUGGUUAGUUCCAUUAAAUUAACGUAAACCCUUACUUUAUUUUAAAAUAAAGUAGUUCACCACUAUAUUGGAUAUGAUAAAAGGGAUUAAGACAAGUCAUCAUGACCUAAAUAUUGUGGGCUAUAGACGUGCCACAUAUGCCUUACAAAAGGAUGCUAAAUUGCGAAAUAGAGCU